CGGGUUUGGGAACGCUUGUCAGGACUGGUGUGUGGCUAGUAAAGGUCUCGAAGGCUGCGGCUGUGGAGUCCGUUUCUCAGGAGGCUGCCCUGAGAGCCAGGCCUGAGCGUGGAGGGCCCGCCCGUUCGCAGCAGAGUCCUUGUCACUGUAGGCAGCGCCAUGCACAGGGCAGGACAGAUGGUCUUCCUCCGCCACGCACCAAGGCUGCCCUUGGCUAGGUCCUGGUGCUGGGACCUGCCACCAGCACCCAGAGCGGGAUGGCUGUGCGCAAACGCGCUGGGGAGAAGGCGCCCUACACUUGGGUCCCCUCUGCUGGUGGUGCUGGCCGCACAGACGCGAUCUGGUGGCUAAAACAAAGUCGGGACAAAAUGGGCUGUGAGGAGUGCGCGGAGAAAUCUUCCUGCCCCUGCAAGCAAGCCGCCUCCCACUUGACGUCACUGGUCCAUGGUGGGGCGCGCAGAGCCAGACGCCAGGCAGGUGCACAGGACCGCACUAGUCCGCCUCCAGGUGUGGCGCGGGGGUGGUGGAUUUUGACCGCUGGGCCUUGAAACAUGUUUGCCUCUUUCUCAUCAGAAACAAUUUCUUGUUCUAGAGUAUUCUCUGUAGAUUAAGCAGCUGGAUGUUUUCUGCCUGUUUGGAGAAGUCGUUCUACCAGGUUUAUGACCAACACCACCGAGAGAGGGCUGUUGUAAGAUGACUCAUCAGGACCCAGAAAAGGCAACGUAGCAAGCCACCGUCCGCCAGAUCACCUUUUCCAGAGUGCAGUGGGUUAUCUUCCUCAUGAGUGAGCCCAGAGGAAACACUGGAUCUCCAUGGAAAAAUCACCCCCAUAAAGGGAAGCAGACCCCGACCUGGGCCACAAUCUUCACCCAGCCCUCCAUCUUCUAAAAAUAACAGUGCCAGGCCAUUCUUCCUUCCAGCUGCAGGCUCAGAACAGGGACUUUCUAAAAAAAUAGAAAAAAAGCACUUCUUCCUGUUUCACUAGUACUAGACACAGAUGGUCAAGGACUCCCCACACAGAUGUCCUAAAUUUCACAUCCACUGUGACCAGGAUGAUGUGAAAGAGGGAAAACAGGCUGCUGCUGGCUGUAGUUAGAGAACCGGGAAACAGGGCAGCUGUCCGUGGGGCUUUGGCCAUUAGAGCCACGGGAAAGACAUUCGCUGAUUUCGCCUGUUUUCCUACCCUCUCCACAAAGCAAGGGCGUUGGAGCUAGAUGUUACAUCUUCACUCAGAGGGACCUGAGUGCACACACAAGCCGGUUCCUGGGCACUGAGUUCCACCCUUGUGUGCGGCUAAGUGGUAGGGCCCUGGUUUUCUAGAAGAGCAAAGCAGCUUUCUAUCAUACCAAAGCAGCUUGAGUCUCACGCUGGUCCUCAGGCAGCAAAGCAAAGGAUGGGUAAUACUUCCCUCCACAAACGAAGGUUCAACCAGAGAGGCUCCCAUGCUCCUGGGGUACCCACAAUGUUCCAACGGCGUCCUGAUGGGCCCUAGUGGUGAAAAGACGCAACGGCCCAGCGCCAGGCCUCGGGGGACCUCCCCCAUCCCCCCACAGCAUCUGUCCCACGGGUCACUGCAGCCUCAGCCUCAGGCAAAACCUCUGGAAAUCAGGAAAUCUCCAGCUGUUUCCACAAAACCUCUAGCCCUUCCUCCUACUCUGCACAAACC
rnacentral:lncRNA from 1 species